UACGUAGGGUGCAAGCGUUGUCCGGAAUUAUUGGGCGUAAAGAGCUUGUAGGCGGUUUGUCGCGUCUGCUGUGAAAUUUCGGGGCUCAACCCCGAACUUGCAGUGGGUACGGGCAGACUAGAGUGUGGUAGGGGAGACUGGAAUUCCUGGUGUAGCGGUGAAAUGCGCAGAUAUCAGGAGGAACACCGAUGGCGAAGGCGGCUCGCUGGGCCAUUCCUGACGCUGAGACGCGAAAGCUAGGGGAGCGAACAGG
rnacentral:rRNA from 1 species